UACGUAGGGCGCAAGCGUUGUCCGGAAUUAUUGGGCGUAAAGGGCGCGUAGGCGGCUUGGCAAGUGGAAGGUGAAAUCCCUCGGCUUAACCGAGGAACUGCCCUCCAAACUUCUAGGCUUGAGACCGGGAGAGGUGAGUGGAAUUCCCAGUGUAGCGGUGAAAUGCGUAGAUAUUGGGAGGAACACCAGUGGCGAAGGCGGCUCACUGGACCGGUACUGACGCUGAGGCGCGAAAGCGUGGGGAGCAAACGGG
rnacentral:rRNA from 1 species